GAUGAACGCUGGCGGCGUGCUUAACACAUGCAAGUCGAACGAAGCACUUUUACAGAUUUCUUCGGAAUGAAGUUUUAGUGACUGAGUGGCGGACGGGUGAGUAACGCGUGGGUAACCUGCCUCACACAGGGGGAUAACAGUUGGAAACGGCUGCUAAUACCGCAUAAGCGCACAGUACCGCAUGGUACAGUGUGAAAAACUCCGGUGGUGUGAGAUGGACCCGCGUCUGAUUAGCUAGUUGGCAGGGCAACGGCCUACCAAGGCGACGAUCAGUAGCCGACCAGGGAGGGUGACCGGCCACAUUGGGAAUUAUGAACGGCCCAAACUCCUACGGGAGGCAGCAGUGGGGAAUAUUGCACAAUGGGGGAAACCCUGAUGCAGCGACGCCGCGUGAGCGAAGAAGUAUUUCGGUAUGUAAAGCUCUAUCAGCAGGGAAGAAGAAAUGACGGUACCUGACUAAGAAGCACCGGCUAAAUACGUGCCAGCCGCCGCCGUAA
rnacentral:rRNA from 1 species